rnacentral:misc_RNA from 1 species
GAUGAAGAACGUAGCGAAAUGCGAUACGUAAUGUGAAUUGCAGAAUUCGGUGAAUCAUCGAGUCUUUGAACGCACAUUGCGCCCCCUGGUAUUCCGGGGGGCAUGCCUGUCCGAGCGUCAUUGCUGCCCUCAAGCACGGCUUGUGUGUUGGGCCUCCGCCCCCCGGCUCCCGGGGGGCGGGCCCGAAAGGCAGCGGCGGCACCGCGUCCGGUCCUCGAGCGUAUGGGGCUUCGUCACCCGCUCCGUAGGCCCGGCCGGCGCCCGCCGGCGACCCCCCUCAAUCUUUCCAGGUUGACCUCGGAUCAGGUAGGGAUACCCGCUGAACUUAAGCAUAUCAAUAAGCGGAGGA